rnacentral:misc_RNA from 1 species
UGAGAGCCCUCUGGUUGUAUCUUUAUCACUGCUACCCCUGACUCUUCCAGGAAGCGUCCACAGCUGUAUCCACCCCAGAGGCCCCAGAGCCUCCAUCUCAGGAGCAGUGGGCCAUCCCUGUGGACGCCACCUCCCCUGUUGGUGAUUUCUAUCGCCUCAUUCCCCAGCCAGCCUUCCAGUGGGCAUUUGAGCCAGAUGUGUUUCAGAAACAGGCCAUCCUGCACUUGGAACGGCAUGACUCUGUCUUUGUCGCAGCUCACACAUCUGCAGGAAAAACAGUUGUGGCUGAAUAUGCCAUUGCUCUGGCCCAGAAACACAUGACACGCACCAUCUACACUUCGCCCAUCAAGGCCCUGAGCAACCAGAAGUUCCGGGACUUCCGAAACACAUUCGGGGAUGUGGGGCUGCUCACCGGGGAUGUACAGCUGCAUCCGGAGGCCUCCUGCCUCAUCAUGACCACAGAGAUCCUUCGCUCCAUGCUGUACAGUGGCUCAGAUGUUAUUCGGGACCUGGAGUGGGUCAUCUUUGAUGAGGUUCACUAUAUCAACGAUGUCGAGCGUGGGGUCGUGUGGGAGGAGGUGCU